AGAAUGCGUAUGAGCAAAUUGUAAGGGCGUCGUUGGAAGGCGAUAGAGAGAUGUGUGCAUUCACAUACUUGAGGAUGAAUACUGAGUUGUUUGAAGAAGAAAAUUGGAGAAGGUUUGUGGGAUUUGUGCAUAAGAUGAAAGGAAGGAAGAAUGGGCAUAGAAGUUGGGAAGAAAAGAAGAAGCAGCAAGUUGAAAAGCUUGUGCCUAAUCUACAAAGUCAGACUAAUUUGGUUCAAAGAGUUUAGUUUUAUUAGGUUAGGUUUUAGCUUCCCACAUAUGGAAACAUUAAGUCACCUCUACAAAUUCCACCACUAUUCUUUUAAAUUUUU
rnacentral:misc_RNA from 1 species